GAAAGGCGCUUUCGGGUGUCGCUGAUGGAUGGACCCGCGGUGCAUUAGCUAGUUGGUGAGGUAACGGCUCACCAAGGCGACGAUGCAUAGCCGACCUGAGAGGGUGAUCGGCCACAUUGGGACUGAGACACGGCCCAAACUCCUACGGGAGGCAGCAGUAGGGAAUCUUCGGCAAUGGACGAAAGUCUGACCGAGCAACGCCGCGUGAGUGAAGAAGGUUUUCGGAUCGUAAAACUCUGUUGUUAGAGAAGAACAAGGAUGAGAGUAACUGUUCAUCCCUUGACGGUAUCUAACCAGAAAGCCACGGCUAACUACGUGCCAGCAGCCGCGGUAAUACGUAGGUGGCAAGCGUUGUCCGGAUUUAUUGGGCGUAAAGUGAGCGCAGGCGGUUUCUUAAGUCUGAUGUGAAAGCCCCCGGCUCAACCGGGGAGGGUCAUUGGAAACUGGGAGACUUGAGUGCAGAAGAGGAGAGUGGAAUUCCAUGUGUAGCGGUGAAAUGCGUAGAUAUAUGGAGGAACACCAGUGGCGAAGGCGGCUCUCUGGUCUGUAACUGACGCUGAGGCUCGAAAGCGUGGGGAGCAAACAGGAUUAGAUACCCUGGUAGUCCACGCCGUAAACGAUGAGUGCUAAGUGUUGGAGGGUUUCCGCCCUUCAGUGCUGC
rnacentral:rRNA from 1 species